GAUGAACGCUGGCGGCGUGCCUAAUACAUGCAAGUCGAGCGAACAGAUGAGGAGCUUGCUCCUCUGACGUUAGCGGCGGACGGGUGAGUAACACGUGGAUAACCUACCUAUAAGACUGGGAUAACUUCGGGAAACCGGAGCUAAUACCGGAUAAUAUAUUGAACCGCAUGGUUCAAUAGUGAAAGACGGUUUUGCUGUCACUUAUAGAUGGAUCCGCGCCGCAUUAGCUAGUUGGUAAGGUAACGGCUUACCAAGGCGACGAUGCGUAGCCGACCUGAGAGGGGGAUCGGCCACACUGGAACUGAGACACGGUCCAGACUCCUACGGGAGGCAGCAGUAGCGAAUCUUCCGCAAUGGGCGAAAGCCUGACGGAGCAACGCCGCGUGAGUGAUGAAGGUCGUCGGAUCGUAAAACUCUGUUAGUAGGGAAGAACAAAUGUGUAAGUAACUAGGCACGUCUUGACGGUACCUAAUCAGAAAGCCACGGCUAACUACGUG
rnacentral:rRNA from 1 species